rnacentral:rRNA from 1 species
AACGAACGCUGGCGGCAUGCCUAACACAUGCAAGUCGAACGAGACCUUCGGGUCUAGUGGCGCACGGGUGCGUAACGCGUGGGAACCUGCCCUUAGGUUCGGAAUAACUCCCCGAAAGGGGUGCUAAUACCGGAUAAUGUCUUCGGACCAAAGAUUUAUCGCCUUUGGAUGGGCCCGCGUUGGAUUAGCUAGUUGGUAGGGUAAAAGCCUACCAAGGCGACGAUCCAUAGCUGGUCUGAGAGGAUGAUCAGCCACACUGGGACUGGGACACGGCCCAGACUCCGACGGGAGGGAGCAGUGGGGAAUAUGGGACAAUGGGCGAAAGCCUGAUCCAGCAGUGCCGCGUGAGUGAUGAAGGCGUUAGGGUUGUAAAGCUCUUUUACCCGGGAUGAUAAUGACAGUACCGGGAGAAUAAGCUCCGGCUAACUCCGU